UGUAGUUGAACGCCCCGUCCUUCUGCAUCUAGUUAUUUGAGGUGGUUCAGGAACGACCGCUGCUAAAAAAUUUCACCGUAUCUCAGUGUCUGCACUACUGUGUCUACUGAGCUUGCUGAUAGGCUGAAGUAGGGAAGGGAAGAAAAAGCAAAGUCAGAAACCGUUGGAUUUAUAUUUGACAGUUGCACCCACCGCCCACCAUGGCAGACGGAGCAGAGCAGCAGCCCAUCUUCCAGCCAGGAAUCCAACGCAGCCGAUCGUACGAGAAGGUCAGCUGGCGGGCGGGCGUCCUGCGCCGAUGCGUUGUCCCGACGAUCAUCACCUUCACGGGAAUCUUCCUCGCCAUCGCCAUUGGCAACAUCUGCUACUACUUCGCGAUCAAGCCGGCGCGGGCGUACUAGACGCGCGCUGAGCGGGCGGGUGCGACCGGAUUCACUCGGAUUGGAUGCAGCAGGGGGGCGGGGGAGGAGGGCGUGAGCCCGGGAGGGGGAAGCGAGCGCGGAUGCAGAAGAGACGGGGGAGCGAAUCAACAAAGAAGUUUACGCGAGGGUCGUUGUUGAAUUUUAUAUUAAUCGUAGAAGCGAUAGUAGCCGAUAGGGCGAUGUCUUAGCAGGGUUACUGCGUGCCUCCGCGAUUCUGUUGAUGCCAUUGAUUGUCGAUUUUACUUUGUGAUACGCCACGCGGCAUUAGCGGCUGGGCGUCCCCGCACGUUGGCGGGCGGACCUUUUAGAUAUGGUCCCAAGGUGCGACGCGCAGCGAAGACGGUACAGCCAUGUCAGUGAUCAUGUCAGUGUGUCAAAGAGAGAGAGAGAGAGAGAGCGAGAGAGAGGGCAAGAGAAGUGAGAGAGAGGGCGAGAGAAGUGAGAGACAGAGAGAGAGAGAAAGAGGGAGAGAAAUCGACCGUACAGUUGCAUCUGAAAGGCAACACAAACUGACAAAUAAAAAGAUAACACCGACAGGCUCACCGGUCUACGCUGCUGCCGCAUCUUCGUCUCACGCACUGCUGCACUCGGAAGCCCUUCUUAUUACAUUCCAGUUGCGACAUUCCAUUCCACUAUGUAGCUUACAGGUACAUGCACAGAUAUGAGCAGGUAUGGAAAGGUAUAUGCACAGGUUUAUACAGGUAUAUGCAGGUACAUGCACAGGUAUAUACAGGUACAUGCACAGGUAUAUACAGAUACGUGCACAGGUAUAUACAGGUACAUGCACAGGUAUAUACAGGUACAUGUACAGACGUGCACAGGUAUAUACAGAUACGUGCACAGGUAUAUACAGGUACAUGCACAGGUAUAUACAGGUAUAUAUACAGAUACGUGCACAGGUACAUACAGAUACAUGCACAGGUGUAUGCAGGUACAUGCACAGGUACGCGCAGACAACCACGCGCUGCGAUCAUCGUCGCUACCCCCCAAAGGCAGCUAGACGGUGCGAAUUGGUUGCGAUGGUCCCAGCGUGCGAGGGUUGCGUACGACCAUGGGUGGGGUCUAGCAGGGUGGGGUCUAGCAGCUGAGAUGGGAGACCGUUCUGUCAUUAGCCACACUCACUGGCUUUGUACCUGAUACGUGUGUGUGUGAGUGUGUGUGUGUAUGUAUGUUCCAAAUUGCACCUCUGGUUUGUGGAUGGUACCUACCUUGUUUGUGGAUGGUACCUACCUUGUUUGUGGAUGGUACCAACCUUGUUUGUACCUGGCACAUAUACCUGGUACACACCUGGUAACACACACACCUGGUAACAUGUACACCUGAUACCCACCUGGCGCACAUUUUUACACCUGGUAACACCUGUGCACCUGGUACACAUACCUGUGAAGCGGUGUGUGAGGAAUGAAGCACUAGUUGCGAGGGGAGAAGAAUCUCAGCUUUUCAGGAGUUAGUCUAUUUUUUGCACACGUUUAUGAUUUAUGCGCACGAUCGGGUUGUGGUUUUCACCCGCGCUCACAUUCUCAGAGAGUGGGCGGGCGUCUGUCUUAAACUAUAUGUUUACACUUUAGAGAGGAUGAGAAAGAGAGAGAGAGAGAGAGAGAGAGAGAAAGAGAGAUAGCUAUAGUAUUUACAGUGCUUAUUUUGCACGGUGAUGGGGUUUACUAAUCGAGUAUCGCCGGAUGCCUCGUACGUUGUGACGACGGCGGCGUCACUGUUCCUUAUACAUUCCCUAACGCGCGUUUACCGUUUACGACUUACCGAAUACUCGUUUUGUUUAUCGUUUUAAGAGAUCAUCGCUUAUUGGCGACUUUUUCAGUUUUUUCGGCAUGAAGAAGAAUCGAGGUAGUCGAAUGAAUUACAGGUAGAUGAUUAGGAGUCUUAAUUAAUUACAGGCCGCAAUUAGGGGCACUAAUUACUCAUGUUCACUGUCGAUAGAGCUCCUUGGCGUGUAUACACCCGUUGUGGAUCUGGGUUUAGUGCGGUUGUGAGCGCACUUUCUGUUAUGUUUAGUGCCAGGGGUGCCGGUUUAGUACACUUGCAAGGUGUACGCACCGUUUGGUAGCGUAGGGACCAUGGAAUAGUAUGCGUUGAGAUGCAGGCGCAGGUGUGAUAUGACUGUGUGUAUGUUAUAACGUAAGGCAUGGCUCCAAGUGAAGUUGGUCUGUUACGUCGUUCUACAUUGUUUAUGCACAGAUUUUGCGGUAAUCGUGGCGAGUAAGCAAAUUUGGAGUCGAUAAAAGCCUGUGGUUCUACGAUUCCAUACGUGUCACGUCAUUCCUUGUUGUUCUACACGUAGUUACUUGUAAUAUGCUAACCAUGGCAGACAAGCAAAUUUGGAGGCGAAAAGCAUAUAUAUAGUAGCUGCACAAUAAAAUAACUAUAACGAUUAAAA
rnacentral:lncRNA from 1 species